GGAUCAGCCCGCUCCCGGUAAAACGGGACGGCCCGCCAGAGGACCCCUAAACUCUGUUUCUAUAUGUAACUUCUGAGUAAAACCAUAAAUAAAUCA
rnacentral:misc_RNA from 1 species